UUGAACGCUGGCGGCAGGCCUAACCCAUGCAAGUCGAGCGGAUGAAGGGAGCUUGCUCCUGGAUUCAGCGGCGGACGGGUGAGUAAUGCCUAGGAAUCUGCCUGGUAGUGGGGGAUAACGUCCGGAAACGGGCGCUAAUACCGCAUACGUCCUGAGGGAGAAAGUGGGGGAUCUUCGGACCUCACGCUAUCAGAUGAGCCUAGGUCGGAUUAGCUAGUUGGUGGGGUAAAGGCCUACCAAGGCGACGAUCCGUAACUGGUCUGAGAGGAUGAUCAGUCACACUGGAACUGAGACACGGUCCAGACUCCUACGGGAGGCAGCAGUGGGGAAUAUUGGACAAUGGGCGAAAGCCUGAUCCAGCCAUGCCGCGUGUGUGAAGAAGGUCUUCGGAUUGUAAAGCACUUUAAGUUGGGAGGAAGGACAGUAAGUUAAUACCUUGCUGUUUUGACGUUACCAACAGAAUAAGCACCGGCUAACUUCGUG
rnacentral:rRNA from 1 species